AAAGCUCGUACUUCCAAGUAAACCAGUUGGAGUAUAACUUGGGUAUUGUGUGUUUUUUUUAAACUGAUACAAAAAGGCAUCAUCAUCAUUGAUAGCCCCAUGAUCUGAAACUGAUUGUUUUUAUGAGGCUUGUCCAAUGAUGACAAAAGAAUGUCAAAAGCUGAGGGUUCUGCAGAAAGUAACUCAUCUCCUCACUUCCCAAAACCUGUCCACCAUCUUCAACGGACAAGUGUGAUGGAGUACUUCUCAGUUGCCGAGAUGAGCGUGCCCAACAUGAUUGAAUAAGGUUCAACACCAUCCAGGACAAAGCAACCCAAUUGAUCAGCUGUCCAUCCACCAUCAGAAAUACCUUCUCAUUACCAAUGAUGAGUAAUGGCAACUGCUAUUAAGAAUUAACUCACCCAGGUCCUAUGACUGCAGCUGUCAACCUGCAAUCUCUAAUGGGGUGGAAAUAGCAGGUGGAUGGGAGUAAUUGCAACUUCCCCUCUAAAUCACACACCAUCCUGACUUGGAACGAUAUUGCCAGUUCCUUCACUUGCUGGUGAAAAUCCUGACAGCAUUGUGGGCGUACUGACACCACACGGACUGUAGCACCAUAAACUUUUGAAUGACCGUUAGGGAUGUAAAACAAAUGGUGAACUAAUGAAAAGCACAUUUCUUUCAUCAAGUUUUCUUUUCAAUAGAACCAUGGGACUGAACUGUGAAACUUCACAAUGUUUUAAAAGAAUUGCUGAGUAAAAAAAUACAUUUUGUGAAAGCCUUUCAUUUUUCAGUCAUAGAAUAAUUUGCAAGAAAUAUGAAAAUAAAGGAAAAACAUAAUUUAUAAUGGUUGAGAGGACAAUUUUGAUUGGUUGGCAGAAUGCGCCAGUUAAUGAUGUUAAAAAUUACACAACACCAAGUUAUAAUCCAACAGGUUUAUUUGGAAGUACUAGCUUUCGGAGUGCUGCUCCUUCAUUGGGUAGUUAAUUAUGACUGACAAGUUACUGUGAAGCUACAUUUAAAUUUUAAACAAAGCAGAUUGACUUUGAUUAGUAACACCAAAUAAUGUCCUGUGAAAUGAACCAGAGAAUGGUUGUCACCUGCUGUCUUCCAUUGAAACAAAUGCAGUGUGCACAUGUUCUUUCUGUCUCCAAAGAACAGGGCCCAGUGUAUUAAUAAUACAUCUGGCUUCCAGUGUGGACAAAUGCACCACAAUGUGAGACUGGCUGAUAAUCCCAAAUUGGCUGUCAGCAUUAUUCUUUGCAUGGAUACAAUUCUGUCACAAAUAUUGUCAAAACUGCUGAAUCACAUUUUAUCUUGAACACUUGGGAGGACAGCACCCUAUUUGACAAAAUGUAUUUUUUUUUAUCAGAGAUACUCAAGUUUUAAACUAAAACUAGAACAAAUUAUGUUCUGAUCAGUCUGCACACAACCAAUGCCAGUUUAUGUUGUAAAUGGAAGCAAAAGAUACUCCAGUUUGUUGUGACUUGCACAUGAAAAAUAGUUUGCAUGAAGUCUUAUAGAAAAUCCAGAUUUGUCAGUGGUAAUUGUGGAAUGCAUUUAUUCUUGAAAAUACUUUUGUGUUUUCUAUUGAAAACACGUUGUUUUUUCAGUGAAACCAAAAUUUUCUUUCUGUGUCGAUAGUAAGUCAUUGUGUGACAGGCUUGGAGAUAUUAAACCUGACGAGUUAAACCAUUAUAAUUAUGUAUGUCAGACCCUGCAGCAUACAACAUAAAUCAACUUUAAAAGACACAAAAUACAACCAUGCAUCUGCUUUUAUUUGCCCUUUUUGCUUCAACUCAAUAUAUAUUAUGAAUAGGUUCCAAUUACUGCUGUCUACCAAUCUUGGGAAAAAGAUGGAUUUGCUCAUGGUUCAGAAGUGAUCUUGACAAGUACUUGCAAGAAUGCAUGGAAAAGGACCAGUUGAUCCUGAGCACUAUUUAAAGUGAAACUGUGAACAUAAGACAGUAGAAUGUUAGAAAGCUUUUCUUCAUACGAAGUGACUCAUCAAGAAUUUUUUUUUGUUAAGGAUAAUUAAGACUAAAAACCUGAAUUUAAUCAAGAAACAGUUUUGUAAAGUGAUAAGUGGCUUGUGGAUCUCCCUCAUGGAAAUAAGGAAAAUAGGAAUAGGAGUACGUUACUCAGCCCUUUGAACCUGUCUGCCUUUCAAUUUGAUCUUGGCUAAUCAUUUGAUUCAGUAUGCAGAUUUUGCUUUCAUCCCAUUGCCUUUGAUUCCUUUAAUCGAAAGAAUUAUUCUUGCUCCUUCUUGAAAGUAGUAUUCCGUAUUUUGGCAUCAACCACUUUCUGUGAUUGAGAAUUCCAUAGGCUCACUGUUUUCAGGAUGAAGGCAUUUCUCCUCAUAUCACCUCAUCCUGGUCUGAAAUGGCCUCUGCUAGGUCCUUUGACUGUGGCCCCUGGUUCUUGUGUGUUCAUCCUAUUUUUGUCUGUUUCUUCUUCCCUCCCCUUUGCAUUAUUUUUUCCACAGGGUAUUUUAUGCAUUGCAUUUCUAUGACUAUGGCUUCCUUGAUCAACAGCAACCUACAGAGACCCCGAAACACGAAUUAUAUUGCAUGGUUAUAAAUUACACUCAGGGAAUCCAGUUUGCUUCUGCUUCUGAAAGACUGUCCUUAUGCUCACUUCUGAUAUUUCCUUCAGUUCAAUAUAUAGCAAGAAUUUUUUUAAGGUUUCAUUGAUACUUUUUUGGGAUUAUAAUCUGUGAAAUGAAGCCCUGUUACCAGAUUUGCAAUAUCAUGCUUAUGAUUUGUCUUCAUUGGUCAGAACAUUGAGUAUAAAAUGUGAGACCUUAUGUUGGGGCUGUACAGGACAUUGGUGAGGCCACUUUUAGAAUACAGCUUAUAAUUCUGAUCGCCCUUCAAAAGGAAGGACAUUGUUAAAUUUGAGAGUGUGCAGAAAAGAUUGACAAGGAUGUUGCCAGAUCCGAAGGAUUUGCUAUUUUUUUUUCACUGGAGUGUCAGAGGUUGAGGGGUGACCUUACAGAAGUUGAUAACAUCAUGUGGCGUGGAUCGGGUGAAUAGCCGUGGUAUUUUUCCUCGGGUUGGGGAGUCCAAAACUCGAGGGCAUAGUUUUAAGCUGAGCACGAAGAUUUCAAAAGGAUCUGAGCAGUACCUAUUUCAUGCAAAGGGUGGUGUAUGUUUGGAACUAGUUGCCAGAAAAAGGGGUGGAGGUGUGUAUAACUACAACAUUUGAAAGGCAACUGGAUGAGUACGUAAAUAGGAAAGUUUUGGAGGAGUAUAAGCCAAAUACUGGCAAAUAGGGCUUGAUUGGAUUGGGAUUUCUGAUCUGCACAGAUGAAUUGGACCAAAGGGUAUGAUUCCAUGCUGUAUGACUGUAUGCCUCAAUGACUGAACUCUGAAGUAUCUUUGUGGCAUGGAAAUGGCUACACAGCAGUCGGUCGGAUCGCAAAAGUGAUAAUUGAUUCACAUUGUCAAAUAUAUAUCUCUUCAAAAUCCUGUGCAGUCUGGUGAAGAACUAACUCUGCCAGUCAACAACAGCUUGCAUUCUCCUACAAAAGCAAAAGACCAUCUGAGGUGUUUCACCAAAGAAGAAGAUAACAAUGGUAAACAAUCAUGGUAAGCUAUGGGAGAUGACUGAAUGAAUUGUGAAAAAGGAAAGUUAUUAAGAUUCACAUAAAUGUUGGGAGAAGAUAGAGACAGAGGCACCUCACAAGAGAGGACAGGGGAUUAUGUAGAUCUUUACUGCAUGGAAAUUAACCCCAGCCUUGUGUCUGUGGUGUAAAGAAAUGGCCACUCCUGGUGUCAAUCUUUCAGCUCUGAUAUCAAAGCCUUUACUAGUGUAAGGACUUAUUAAGGAUUUAGACAUAAUUAAUUCGAAUUUAACUUCUAAUUUACUCAAUGUUUAAAGAACCGUCUUCACUUAUGUUUUGCAGGCAAGAUUGUAUGACAGAUCAGCAUAGAGACUUGAAGAGGCCUGACACAAUAAUACAGUUGCCCGCUCCCUGAAACAUAGAACCAGUGUGGACUCUGAAUUCCACACCACCACGCACACCUUUGAACAAUUCACCCCCGUCCUGUGAAACAGGAUGCAAUGUGUUGAUGGCUUCAGAAUGCAAGGUGUUCCGUCUCCUUCAACCGACCGUUCAUCCAAACCCAUGACACCUCGCAGUGAAUGUAGCCAAACCCAUCCAGUUUUCAGAUUCCGUCGGUCUCCGGAGAAGCAGAGCAGGUUCGUUUUUUUUAAAAAAAUACACUGUCCAGGAGAGUGAACCACAGCAAUCACAGAACAUCGACUUGAACUCAGGUUUGAAAGGUAAUCCGAACUCAGUCGGAACUGUUUUGUCAUGCAAAUUGAAAGACGUAAAUUUGUGCAGGAAUAUAUGCGCCGGGAAGUUUUUUUUAUUUGCAGUGUAGCGGUGUAACUUUAUUUACGUCCCGCGUUGCUGCGGAUUUGCCUGCGCUGGGAAAGUCAGGAAGGGGAUGACUUGAGCCAGAGUUGGACCGAGGCUUCAGGCUCGUCCCGUUCACAAUGACAAACGGCUAGCUCGGUGACUGCAGUCACAAUGGAGUUGGCAGUAGGGAAUUCACGCGUCGUUCCCUUAUUUAAUCUCUGUUAAAUUGCAUGUGAACAACUAAGAAGCUCGAGAGAUCCAUUAUAUUUCUGUUUCUCCAAUUCUCAAUCCUUGCCUUUUUAGAAAUACUGACGUGGCGAGGAGCCAUCUGCGUACAUCUGACAUUUGUAACCGGGAAUAAAGUAGGCAACGGGAGGAAAAUGUGCUGGAAAUUUGAUUUUUAACAAGCUGCAAAACUCUCAGUAUCUGCGCUGAAAAGGAGAAUUGACUCUGAAAUUCUGCUCUUACAACACCAGUCGCUUAUUGCAGUAUGCGACCCUUCGUUUUCUCUGGGUGCAUUUCUCUCGAAUGAAAGUUGGGGACGGGGUGGGGGAGGGGACAUAAUGCCCACACUGUGAUUUUUGACAGUCAGGUGGGAUGAAGCAGCUGCAACUCAAAGUAGCAUGCUUGUUUGAUUCCCCCCCCCCGCCCCCCUUUCAUUCAUGUUUGUCCGGUUGUUUUGAGUUCGCAGCCUCACACCAUGAUGGGACUCCUGUUCCCCUCUGGAAAAGGUGCGCUGCGAACUUUGUACCGCCAGGGUGUCCCGAGUGCGGUCAAUCUGGAAAUGAUGAUGCUGUCACGGUUUGUUAUUAGCGGCGCUGGGGCAACGUUGCCUGUCCUUUCUGUCAUUGAGCCACCCGUCAGCGCGUGGAAACCUGACCGGCGUUGUUCAGUAUUCGUCCGAAAAUUGAGUUUCCCCUUUACUGUCCCUCCCUCGUUUGAUAUUUACCGGUAAAUUCAACUAGCCUGUUGGUUCAUGGUUUUGGGAGGGGGACGAGGGGUGUUGGAAGCAGGCCAACUCUAAAUAAAUAUUCAUCGGCAAAUUAUCGGACUUCGUGUUGAAUUAGGGUAACAAGAACUUGCUUUUCAGUAGUAAAAAGUACGAAGGCGGUUUAUAUAAAAAAAACUUGGCAGCAAGAUAAAGGAAUUAACCGACAGGGCACCGUCAUACACAUGUGGAACCGUGACGAGGCGCUUCCAUACGUUUGUAAAAUGUACGGUGCUCGCUGUUUUUGGAAAAGAUGUCCAGGAGAGAGAGUGCAGAUUUGAUCAAAACAGACCGGUGUAAUCCUAUGCCCCCACUUGUCCUAAGAGAUUGAGGGAAUUGACUGUCGCGGUCACUCGGUACCGGCGAAUUUUCCAGCUACACACUCAACUUGAACUUGGCGCACACAAACACUGCGACUUGGCUCAAACUGCUUGCGCGUCCCGUUACCCUUCCGAUGUACAUCGCCAGAAUAGGUACGCCUGCCUUCAUUCCAAUCGGGCUUGGUACAACCAUUCUGGAGCUGACGUUUUGGAGCAUGCCAUGUAUCCGGUUCAAUAUUUGAGUGCAGUUCUCCAUGCAAACAAAAAAUAAACUGUGUCUGAAUUUCAAACGAAAUGAUUCUCUCUUAAAAAUAUAUUUAAACAUCUCGUCUCUCAUAUGUUACUGGGGACUCCGACAAUUGAAUAUCAAACUCUCCAUUCCUGCUGUCUUUCUCGGACCAUAGUUUGGAAGGAAUUGUUACCUCUCUGCUUCUUCGCAGACGUUAAGCGAUUUCAAUAAUUCAAGCGAACUAAUAAUUUCAGACAGAGGAUUUAUGUUGGUGUUGGUCGUGGGGUGUGAGAAACGGGAGAGGGAGAGGUUGAUUUGAGCAGAAUACGUAUUUAUUACAGUUCAUUUGUUGAAUAAUCCUACUAUGCCUUUUUGUGGUGUAUUCACAGAUUUUUUCUUAAAUUAAAAGUCUAAGCUCUAAAUGGAAACAAUUUCGAGCAGUAAAUCUCUCAGAACCGUGAUGUACUUAUCAAUCAGUCAGCGGAAAUCUCAUAAAGUGAUCCCACCGUAAAGUGGACCUGCCAUCCAUUUAUUUUAGCGUUUGAAAAAGAGUUAAAAAUACACGGCAGCAAAAAAAGUUAGUGUUGGCGUCUUCUGACACGAUAUGGGUGCAGCCGAAAUUGUCGUUUUAACUUAAAAAGUGUUUCUCAAUACUUGAUUUAUUUUAGCCUCAAAUCAGAUUGAGGUGGUUAUCCACCAGCCCGAAGGAAAUUUGAACUUGUCUCCCGUUUCCUCCUUUUGAGAGGAGUCCUGCCAGCCCAGGGAAGAUACACAUGCCCCUCUUUGAUUCAGACCUGUCCUCACAGAGCUCCCUGCAUCAUUCCACUGUCUCGCCCUCCCUAUCUGCAGACGCGGCAAGAACAAGCAAACCAGCGACCUUCAAACAAAACUGGCCCGAUUUGACCAUCCCAAAACCUUCUUUGAAAAAAAUUCAUGGAGGUGGCGGUGCCGGGGCGAGCGGGGAGAUGCUGGAAUGCAGCGACGACACUCUUGACUGAUCUCGAAGCCCAACACUUUCAAUUAAUAUUUACAUGGACACCAAUCUCUCUGCCAGUUCGUUUUCCAUUGGGCACAAGUCAUAGAAACAAAUCUUAAUUUGGUACUGCCUGUUCAAUAUCAACAAACCGAAAACCACUCGAACCUUGGCGCAAAUCCUUCCGUUACUGAUCAGUUGUGCAUUGACCCAUGAACCGCCCAAUCUCAUGGGGCGAGGAAACGGCAUUUGCUGCUCUUCCGCGUCUCUCUUGGUUUAAUAAAAGGGGAAUCCUUUCAUCAACAGGCAUACUCGUGAUAUAGAGCUCAGGUAAACUCGUAUAAACAG